rnacentral:rRNA from 1 species
UACGUAGGGUGCGAGCGUUGUCCGGAAUUAUUGGGCGUAAAGAGCUCGUAGGCGGUCUGUCACGUCGGAUGUGAAAACUCGGGGCUCAACCCCGAGCCUGCAUUCGAUACGGGCAGACUAGAGUUCGGUAGGGGGAGACUGGAAUUCCUGGUGUAGCGGUGAAAUGCGCAGAUAUCAGGAGGAACACCGGUGGCGAAGGCGGGUCUCUGGGCCGAUACUGACGCUGAGGAGCGAAAGCAUGGGGGAGCGAACAGG